rnacentral:rRNA from 1 species
AAUGAACGCUGGCGGCAGGCCUAACACAUGCAAGUCGAACGGAUCCUUCGGGAUUAGUGGCGGACGGGUGAGUAACGCGUGGGAACAUACCCUUUGGUACGGAAUAGCCUCGGGAAACUGGGAGUAAUACCGUAUGUGGUCGAGAGACGAAAGAUUUAUCGCCAAAGGAUUGGCCCGCGUUGGAUUAGGUAGGUGGGGGGGUAAUGGCCUACCAAGCCGACGAUCCAUAGCUGGUUUGAGAGGAUGAUCAGCCACACUGGGACUGAGACACGGCCCAGACUCCUACGGGAGGCAGCAGUGGGGAAUCUUAGACAAUGGGGGAAACCCUGAUCUAGCCAUGCCGCGUGAUCGAUGAAGGCCUUAGGGUUGUAAAGAUCUUUCAGGUGGGAAGAUAAUGACUGUACCACCAGAAGAAGCCCCGGCUAACUCCGUGCCAGCCGCCGCAGUAA